GGUUAAUGUGAAGAGGGGGGCAUACAAGGGGGAGGAGAAUGGGCACAUAAGAGGAUGUGUGUCUGUAAUCACAGGAUCAGAAGCUAUUUGUCUCUUGCCAGGUGUGAUCUCUAGCUGUUGUGAACAUGAAGCUAAUCCUUGCAAUCUCUGUUGUGAUUGUUGCUCUCUCUGUGUUAGCAGGGCCCAGCUCUGCUCACGCAGAAGAGUCAGUAGUGAAAGAGAAAUUCGAU